AAUACAUGACGCUGUUGAUUUUUUCUCACAUGUUUGACCAUUCAUCUUAUUCAAAAAAUUUACGUAAUUAUAAUUUAUUUUGUUAUGAGUUGUUUUAUCACUCAUAGUACUUUAAGUGUGAUUUAUAUCUUUUACAUUUACAUAAAAUUUUUGAAUAAGAUGAAUGAUCAAACAUAUGAGAAAAAAUCAAUGGCGUCAUCUAUU
rnacentral:pre_miRNA from 1 species